CGUCCCAGGUUUUGGGAAGGUUUUGUAGCUCAGGAGCAGUGCCAAGGCUGGGCUGGCUCUGCGCCUCAGCGUGGGCACUGCUCCAGACCUAAUAAACCCUGCUGGCUUCCCCUUGACU
rnacentral:precursor_RNA from 10 species